rnacentral:rRNA from 1 species
AGAGUUUGAUCAUGGCUCAGGAUGAACGCUAGCGGCAGGCUUAAUACAUGCAAGUCGAGGGGCAACAGGGGUAGCGAUACCUGCUGGCGACCGGCAAACGGGUGCGCAACACGUACAGAACCUUCCUUUAAGCGGGGGAUAGCCCAGAGAAAUUUGGAUUAAUACCCCAUAGUAUUAUUGUCUGGCAUCAGAUGGUAAUUAAAGAUUUAUCACUUAGAGAUGGCUGUGCGUCUGAUUAGGUAGUUGGUGCGGGUAAUGGCCUACCAAGCCUUCGAUCAGUAACUGGUGUGAGAGCACGACCAGUCACACGGGCACUGAGACACGGGCCCGACUCCUACGGGAGGCAGCAGUAAGGAAUAUUGGUCAAUGGAGGCAACUCUGAACCAGCCAUGCCGCGUGAAGGAUGAAGGUCCUCUGGAUUGUAAACUUCUUUUAUGUGGGAAGAAAUGCAUUCUUUAUAGAGUGUUUGACGGUACCAUAGGAAUAAGCACCGGCUAACUCCGUGCCAGCAGCCGCGGUAAUACGGAGGGUGCGAGCGUUAUCCGGAUUCACUGGGUUUAAAGGGUGCGUAGGUGGGUUUGUAAGUCAGUGGUGAAAUCUCCGUGCUUAACAUGGAAACUGCCAUUGAUACUACAGGUCUUGAAUUUUCCGGAGGUUAGCGGAAUAUGUCAUGUAGCGGUGAAAUGCUUAGAUAUGACAUAGAACACCAAUUGCGAAGGCAGCUAACUACAGGGAUAUUGACACUGAGGCACGAAAGCGUGGGGAUCAAACAGGAUUAGAUACCCCGGUAGUCC